UGUAGUUCAUUCCAGAUCUAGUCAAGUUGGCAACCAGGAAUAGCCUUUACCUGCCCCAAACACAGAACCCCAGAAAAAAAAUUCCCAACACUCAAUGCCCCAUGAACACUUCUUUGGCUCCACAGAUGAUGACCGCCAUCCUGUUACUCUCAAAUACUUUGCAAUGAAUGAUCACACCUACAUCAGAUCCAAAGGCUAAUAAAGCUCACCAGCACAAGCGCUGCUCCAGGACGCCUUCAGGGGUCACUGCGUCGCGGAACCUUGAGGACAUGCAGCUAGGACCGGGAUGCAGCCAGGACGCUGCCGGGACGCCAGUUAUCUUUGCUUCCCUCCGCCCGCAACACUCGUGAUCUGAAAAGCUCCAGGAAAGCUGCCCGCGGAAACACGGAAACACGGAGACGCGCUACCGAGUGGGCGCCUUAGACCCACGCCUCACGGACACACUCUGCCCUUGGACGCACAGUCCCAACGCCCCUAGGUGUAAUAAACACAAAAAACAAACUUGGCACAAAUGAGCUCCCCGCCCCCAACUCCCAAGCUGCGGCUUCCCCACUAUUCGGAUGGGUCAGAGCUGAAGUCAGAGAAUCUCGCGUGGACCGCGGCUUACCUACGUCUCCUGGCCGUUUUAUCCACCUAAUAGCCACCUUGCCUCGUGGUAGUGACAGGUCCGGAUCACUUCUUCGGUGUGCCAACUCUGAACUUCUGAUGGUGCCGAGAGGAGCUGCCAACGAAUACAGAAAGUUUUCACCAAUAGAAACCGAACUCCUCUUGGCUCAGCUAAACCUGCAACCGCCCUCAGACCCUCUAGGUGGCGCAGGCUGCUCUUUGGGGAAGACUGGGACCCUUAAUCCUGCACACAGCUCCAGCAUCCUAAGCAUCUGGGCAGCAAUUGGGAAAUGGGUCCCUGCUUCGCCUACAAAGCUCCCUUCUCCUCAAAACCUACCUCAUCACUUUUGGCAGUCCCUUGGUUUUGUUCAUUGUCAUGUCCAGGUCACGGAGCAAAUGCAAUAUUUUGGAUUACUUGUCUAAAGUCUCUGAAACACUCUUCAGUCCCUGGCAACUUUGAUGCCAACCUGAGCUACAUGACAAGACUAUUUCAAGAAAUGUCAAUAAACAAACUGUGUGAGUUAAUGCUAAUAUUGUCGCUUGGCUGCUGUGCCUGCUCCUGCUUUGUUUGUUUGUUUGUUUUGUUGUUGUUCUUAUUGUUUAAGUAUCUUUGAAGUCAUCCCUGAAGGAAAAAAAAUCAUUGCUCCUGUUUCAAAGAUAAGGGAUCUGUUGCUUACAGUGUUGUAUCACUAACUCACCUGAGGUCCCAUAGCUAGAUGGCAGUCAGACUUCUAAGGUAGGUGUAACUGGCGGGAGAGCUUAUAUCCCAUUUCUGUGAAGCAUCAAAUAAGCAGACAAUUGUGAAAAGGGGACUGCGUGAGAAACAGGAAAGAAUCUUACAGUGGAUGUCCGGCCAAGCCAAUUAAGGUUUGACUCUGACACGUCCUCUGCAGGCUUUGCUUGUUUGCUUGUUUGCUUGUUUGCUUGUUUGCUUGUUUGUUUUUAAGCUUGCUCCCCGAUGGCUGGGGAUGUUUUGGGAGACUCUGGAAUCUUUAGGAGUAGAACUGAGCUGGUGAAAGAAGGUCACUAAAAGUGAGACUUUCGCGUUUAUGGCCUAGCCCCUAUCCCUCAGCUGGCUGCUUCCUGCUCUGCUCCUACACCUUUAUCUCCAGCACCCACUGCAGCAGAUGGAGUGACGCCUGCCAUUCUGACCUCCCCUCCCCCGACUGAAACCCGUCUAAAGCUAUGGCUCUUUCUGCCCUGAGUUCAAUCUGCCAGGUACUGGAUCACAGAGACACUGCUAAUCAAGGAGUAAAGGCGAAUGUUCUGGAAGAUGGGGGUGACACUCGGUAGUAGAGAUGUGUGUCCUGAGUUCAGUCUUCAGCACUGGGAGAACACAGCAGCCAGAUGGUAGACUAAAUGAUGUCCUAGUUAAGAAAAAAGAUCCUGGGGCUGGAGAGAUGGCUCAGCGGUUAA
rnacentral:sRNA from 1 species